GCAUGCCUUGCCUGGUGUGACACAGCCAUGACUUUUAUUUCAAAAUCAAACAUCCGGUAUUUUAAAAAACAAAACAAUUUGAUUGUAUUGACACAAAAAUCCUCCUGGAGAACAGCUGAACCUGCUGGAGUAGCUGAGUUUCCUGACAGUGUCCUUGCCUUCACUGUUCCUGCUGAACCUGCUAUAUAAUAUUUCUGGAUCUGAGCACUGAUUGUACCUGCUGAACUGGAUCUCAGUAUCCCUGAUUACCUCCUUUUCCAAGCGCCCCCUUAACCCCUGCUGUCAGCAUUCCCCCCCCUCCUCUCUACGUCACCACAUGAAUCCAGAGUGGUAUUCACCAGACGUAGCACCAAUGAAGAGGAUCCUGCUCCCUGUGUGUAGUUUCUCCAUAGCAUCACAGAUGUAGCCGCAAAUGCAGUCUGAGCACUAACCACAUCCACAGUGACAGCCUCACUCAGCACAGACAGGUAGAACAGCUGCAGCCUUGAUCAGCCAGUGGCUGUACGCUGUCAGACUGAGGCCUUGUCAAAGGAGCAACGAACUGUAAAUGUCACCUAAUCUCUCCUUUCUCUCACACCUGCUGAGUGUUUCCCUAAACUAGCAAUGUCUCAUAACUGUUCCUGCGGAUCACAGGGAAUGCAAAACCCAAGCCUGCAGUAUGUGAUUAUAGCCAGACUAAUGCAGAAAUGUUCACGUUCGAGGUAAUGUUCAGUUCUUAUUCAAGCAACGUUCAGUCACAUUCGCCAUCUUCCUCCCUCAGUCUCUGACGUAUCACAUGUUGUUUCUCCAGAAAGUUAUAGAGACAGGUGAGCGAAUGGAACACACUGACACGUUACAGGUCUCGCCAGGUCUGAGCGUGCUGGAAAUAUGAACUAUGUAAAUCCUAGCUCCUGAUGUAAUAAAUGUGCAUAAACACAGCUGACCCACCUCUUACA